rnacentral:rRNA from 1 species
CGAACGCUGGCGGCAUGGCUAAAACAUGCAAGUCGAACGCGAAAGUUUCUUCGGAGACGAGUAGAGUGGCGAACGGGCGAGUAAGGCGUUUCUAACGUACCCUUAGGCGAGGGAUAGCUCGAGGAAACCGGUGGUAAUACCUGAUGAUCCCAGUGGACCGCAUGUUCUUGCGGGCAAAGGCUGGUCGCUCGGGGAGCGGGGAACAUCCUAUCAGGUUGUUGGUGAGGUAACGGCUCACCAAGCCAGAGACGGGUAGCGGGUGUGAGAGCAUGACCCGCCGCAUCGGGACUGAGACACUGCCCGGACUCCUACGGGAGGCUGCAGCAACGAAUCUUCCGCAAUGCGCGAAAGCGUGACGGAGCAAUGCCGCGUGCAGGGUAAGCCCCUCGGGGUGUAAACUGCUGUCAGGUUUAGGAACACAAUGACCAGACCCAAAGGAAGGGCCGGCUAACUUCGUGCCAGCAGCCGCGGUAAUACGAAGGGCCCGAGCGUUAAUCGGAAUCACUGGGCUUAAAGCGUACGUAGGCGGACAUGUAGGUACUUUGUGAAAUCCCACCGCUCAACGGUGGAACUGCUGGGUAUACCGCAUGUCUUGAGACAGGUAGGGGUCGUCGGAACGAUAGGUGGAGUGGUGAUAUGCUUAGAUAUCUUUCGGAACGCCAAAGGAGAAGUCAGGCCACUGGGCCUGUUCUGACGCUGAGGCACGAAAGCGUGGGUAGCGAACGGGAUUAGAUACCCCGGUAGUCCACGCCGUAAACGAUGUGCACUAGGUUGGGGAGGGGGCUGACACCGGCCCGGCCGAAGCAAAAGUGUUAAGUUUACCGCCUGGGGAGUACGGUCGCAAGGCUAAAACUCAAAGGAAUUGACGGGGGCUCACACAAGCGGUGGAGCAUGUGGCUUAAUUCGAAGCAACGCGAAGAACCUUAUCCAGGGUUUGACAUGUAUGGAUUAGCUCUCAGAAAAGAGUAAGUUGCCCUUUGGGUGAAACGUGCACAGGUGCUGCAUGGCUGUCGUCAGCUCGUGCUGUGAAGUGUCGGGUUAAGUCCCUUAACGAGCGAAACCCCUAUCUUUAGUUGCCAGCGAGUAAUGGCGGGGACUCUAACGAGACUGCCGGUGUCAAACCGGAGGAAGGUGGGGAUGACGUCAAGUCCUCAUGGCCUUUAUGCCCUGGGCUGCACACGUGCUACAAUGGUGCGUACAGAGCGACGCAAUACCGUAAGGUGGAGCAAAUCGCAAAAAGCGCGCCCCAGUUCAGAUCGGGGUCUGCAACUCGACCCCGUGAAGAUGGAAUCGCUAGUAAUCGCGUAUCAGCAACGACGCGGUGAUAAGUUCCUGAGCCUUGUACACACCGCCCGUCACGUCAUGGAAGCCGGAGUUACCU